rnacentral:tRNA from 1 species
UGGGAUGGGGCGCAGCGGUGGCGCGCACGCCUGGCACGCGUGCGGCCCGGGUUCCAUCCUCAGCACCACAC